UACGAAGGGGGCUAGCGUUGAUCGGAAUCACUGGGCGUAAAGCGCACGUAGGCGGCUUCUUAAGUCAGGGGUGAAAUCCUGGAGCUCAACUCCAGAACUGCCUCUGAUACUGAGGAGCUCGAGUCCGGGAGAGGUGAGUGGAACUCCGGGUGUAGAGGUGAAAUUCGUAGAUAUUCGGAAGAACACCAGUGGCGAAGGCGGCUCACUGGCCCGGUACUGACGCUGAGGUGCGAAAGCGUGGGGAGCAAACAGG
rnacentral:rRNA from 1 species